rnacentral:rRNA from 1 species
UACGUAGGGUGCAAGCGUUACUCGGAAUACUGGGCGUAAAGCGUGCGCAGGCGGUGAUGUAAGACCGAUGUGAAAUCCCCGGGCUUAACCUGGGAACUGCAUUGGUGACUGCAUUGCUAGAGUAUGGCAGAGGGGGGUGGAAUUCCACGUGUAGCAGUGAAAUGCGUAGAGAUGUGGAGGAACACCGAUGGCGAAGGCAGCCCCCUGGGCCAAUACUGACGCUCAUGCACGAAAGUGUGGGGAUCAAACAGG